AGAAAGAGGAACCAGAUAGUCCGUGGGAAUCAGAGCAACAAGCAUGCAAGGUUGGUUCAAAGAAAACAAAAUUGUGAAACUGAGUUUGCUUUGAGUACAACAGCUGGCGAACAUGCUUUAGAAGCAUCAAGUUUUGCUAGAAACUCAGCAGAUGCCGAUUUGAAUAGAAGAAAUAAGAUAAGCAAGUUGAAUCGAGCAAAUAGAAAGAAGUUACAAGCGAUGAAAAAAGGAGGUAAAUCUCAGAGCUCUCCAAGUGAGAUUUCAAAUUUUGGAAAACCAACAUGCGUAUGUCCAUUCUGCAAUGCUAUAAUGUGGCAUCAAGAGAGAAGCAAGCAUAACACAAACAAAUCAAGACCAACAUUUGGACUUUGUUGCAAGGAAGGCAAAGUCAAACUGCCACCACUGAAAGAACCUCCAGCAUACCUUCAGCAGCUACUAACAUCUAAUGAAAAGGGAGAAUCGUCAAAUUACAGAGACAAUAUCAGGAACUAUAAUUCAAUGUUUGCAUUUACUUCGAUGGGUGGCCAGGUCGACUACGAGAUAAACAGAAAAGGGGGUGCACCGUAUGUUUUUCGCUUGAAUGGCCAAAACUAUCAUCAAAUUGGCACAUUGCUGCCUAAAGAUAAUGGAGAUAAUGCUAUCAGGCCAAAGUUUGCUCAAUUGUACAUUUAUGAUACAGAAAAUGAGGUCAGAAACAGACUGCAGGCUUCAACCUCAAAGGAAAGGAAAACACAACUUGAUGAAGGCAUUGUGUCUGGAUUAUUGCAGAUGCUUGAUGAUCACAAUGAGUUAGUGAAAUCAUUCCGUAUGGCAAGGGAUAGAUACCAAGAGUCGGAUCUUGAAAAUGUUAGGUUGCGAUUAAUUGGUACAAGAUCCAGUGAUGGAAGACAAUACAACCUACCAACUGCAUCUGAAAUAGCUGCACUCAUUGUUGGGGAACAGACAGGAGAAAAUGUUGAACGUGAUAUAAUAGUAGAAAACAAAGACAAACAACUCCAGCGAAUUUCGGAACUACAUCCAAGCUUUAUGUCUAUGCAAUACCCAUUAUUAUUCCCGUACGGAGAAGAUGGAUUCAGACCAGAAAUAGAAUUAGAGAAAAAAAAAGGUGUCGAAGGAAAGAGAAAGUAUGUUACCAUGAUGGAGUAUUAUGCAUAUCGCAUCCAGCAGCGACUGAACCAGUCAGUAGUCUUGCAAACGAGUGGCAAGCUAUUCCUUCAGUUCAUCAUAGACGCAGCAACAUGCAUUGAGCAAUGGAGGCUCAAUUGGUACAGGAUGCAUCAAGGGACGCUUAGAACAGAGCUAUAUAGCGGUCUGCAAGAUGCAAUUGAUAAUGGUGAUACCAGAACUGAUCAAGUAGGUAAAAGAAUUAUAUUGCCUUCAUCAUAUAAUGGAAGUCCGAGGAAUAAACAGCAGUACUACCAGGAUGCAAUGGCCAUAUGUCGGUGGGCUGGAUAUCCAGAUCUGUUUAUCACUUUCACAUGCAACCCAAAGUGGCCUGAAAUACAGACCAUGUUGGACUUCAUACCAGGACAGAAACCAGAAGAUCAUCCAGACAUUGUCAAUAGAGUGUUCCUUAUAAAGUUGAAUGAACUAAUAGAAGACAUAUACAAAAAGAAGCGGUUUGGAAAAGCAAUAGCAAUUGUCUACACCAUCGAGUUCCAGAAAAGAGGUCUACCUCAUGCACAUAUACUAUUAUUUUUGGAUCCAGAUGACAGGGAUCCUAGCCCCCAAAAUAUUGACCAGAUCAUAUCAGCAGAGGUGCCAGACAAGGAUGUUGAUCCAGAAGGUUACAUGGCAGUUGAAAAUUUCAUGAUGCAUGGACCAUGUGGCCAGGCAUGCUACAAGUCACCAUGCAUCAUCAAUGGGAAGUGCUCAAAACAUUUCCCUAAGAUGUUCUGUGAGGAAACAAGCAUCGAUGAAGAAGGAUUCCCAAUAUACAGAAGAAGAAAUAAUGGCAGGACAGUAGAAAAAAAUGGAGUACAACUAGAUAGCAGGUAUGUUGUUCCAUACAACAGGGACCUGAUAGUCAAGUACCAGGCCCACAUAAACGUGGAAUGCUGUAAUAAAUCAAGAUCCAUAAAGUAUUUGUUCAAGUACAUCCACAAAGGAGAGGAUAGAGCAACUGUAGUUUUGGGUGCAGGAAAUAACUAUGACGAGAUACAA
rnacentral:rRNA from 1 species